rnacentral:snoRNA from 1 species
GAGUUGUAUGAAUUAGUGGACAAACCCUCAAGAAUAAAUCCUCUUUUGCAACCUAAAACUCAUUGUGCAGUAUGAGUUUUGUUACAGAUAAGAAGGGACAUG